AUUUGAGAAACCAGGAAGUAUGUUUUCCUCAUAAUUUCAGCUGUCUUUGAUGGCAAAUUCAAAAGAUUAAAAUGAAUUAGCUUAAAGUUUCAUCAAAUUUAGAAACGUAAAUCAAUCGACUAAAUUCUUUUUAGAAUGAAGACCUCAGCUUCCUUGAUCGCGUUGUAUUCGAUGUUUUACGUUGUGUCAGGCAUUACUGUCUGCGAACACAAAACUUUGAGCAUCACAUGCCCACGCAGAACAACUAUUACAAUAACAUCCGCAAACUACGGACGACUUUCAAACGACGUCCCACUUCACGACGUACAACCACAUGUAAGGCACCGUCAUCAUUAAGUAUAGUUAAAGCGAUUUGUAAUGGCAAACGAUGGUGUAGAAUUCCUGCAAAAAAUGAAAUAUUUGGUGAUCCAUGUUAUGGUGUUUUCAAGUACUUGAAAGUCACCUUCAUGUGCAAUCGCAAGAAAAUGCAAUGGAAGAUCUUCUUGUUCCAUCUCUGCUUCAAAUGAAGUUUUUCGUGACCACUGCAAGGGAGUAUUUAAGUAUUUGAAAGCGUCGUACCAAUGUAGUUGAUUGCACACUACUUUCAAUCUUGUAAUGAUUUUAUUUACCUUAAUUGAGAGACCUUGAAUACAUUUUCAAAAAACUGUAUCCGUUUUUUUGUUUUUAUCUUUUGUAAGUUGGUUAAAAUCUCACCAAAUCUAAACAUGUUUAUGGCACUAAUUCUUAUUUUACAGUAGUCGAUAAGGGCCGUGGAAAAAUCCACUUGGAAGCAGAUAAAUAGAAAGGAGUUGCAUUUAGACAUCAACAGAGACCCGUUGAU